UACGAAGGGGGCGAGCGUUGUUCGGAAUUACUGGGCGUAAAGGGCGCGUAGGCGGCCGAUCAAGUCAGAUGUGAAAGUCCUGGGCUUAACCUGGGGACUGCAUUUGAUACUGAUUGGCUUGAAUGCAGGAGAGGAUAGCGGAAUUCCCAGUGUAGAGGUGAAAUUCGUAGAUAUUGGGAAGAACACCGGUGGCGAAGGCGGGUCUCUGGGCAACAACUGACGCUGAGGAGCGAAAGCGUGGGGAGCGAACAGG
rnacentral:rRNA from 1 species